rnacentral:rRNA from 1 species
GAUGAACGCUGGCGGCGUGCCUAAUACAUGCAAGUCGAGCGAACGGACGAGAAGCUUGCUUCUCUGAUGUUAGCGGCGGACGGGUGAGUAACACGUGGAUAACCUACCUAUAAGACUGGGAUAACUUCGGGAAACCGGAGCUAAUACCGGAUAAUAUUUUGAACCGCAUGGUUCAAAAGUAAAAGACGGUCUUGCUGUCACUUAUAGAUGGAUCCGCGCUGCAUUAGCUAGUUGGUAAGGUAACGGCUUACCAAGGCAACGAUGCAUAGCCGACCUGAGAGGGGGAUCGGCCACAUGGGAAGGGGGACGGGGUCCAGGCUCCUACGGGAGGCAGCAGUAGGGAAUCUUCCGCAGUGGGGGAAAGCCUGACGGAGCAACGCCGGGUGAGUGAUGAAGGUGUUGGGAUCGUAAAACCCUUUUAUGGGGGGAAAACAGAUGUGGAAGGAACUGUGGAGAUUUUGACGGUAAUUAAGCAAAAAACACCGGCUAACUACGU